GUGGAACUCUGGCACCUGCACAAGACCGGAGUCCUUCGCCUCGCCACGAGGCUUGCCGAUCCCUCCUGUCACAAGCAACCCAUUACUUCUGGUGUCGUGCUGAUACCUGGGGUGGGUGAGACACCAGAUCUACAAGCUGGCCUGAAGGGAAAGCAGAACUGCAAAGAUAAUGAUAAUCAGAUAUAUGCCUGGCACAGAGCUAGGAGCUGCGCACCGCAACAGGCUGCCAUAUUAAAAAGCCAUCCAGAAUCUUGACAUCUUCUUUGUGAAGUUUUGCAAAUGCAAGGCCUGGCUGCUUGAGAGCAGAAGGUUUGGGAAUAAGGCACCCCGCAAUGUCAUGGUGCCAACAGAUGUGGCUGCAACCUCACACUACGCCAUUCACUCUAAGGGAUCUACGGAUCUUACCAGAAGGAAAGCACAAAUAUCAUUCUGAGUACAAAAUUAGACACACACAUCCUCUAUACCUGAAUGACUAUUUCAAUUUACAGAAUUAUAAAUGAUGCUAAAUCUGAUUCUAAAUAGAGGAAAUGCAAACUUUCAUCAUUAAGCUCUAUAUAUGAACACAAACAUCAAUCUAAAUAGUCAUUCUUAAAAAAUAUAACACAGAAGAAAAAAGCCUCAUUUCUCCACCAUUCAGGAAAAUGUCUGAUUUUAGUGCAAAGAACUUGUCUACAAACAUCUCCCCAUCUUAGAAUCCAUCCAAUACAUCAUAGAAUGGCCUGGGUUGAAAAGGACCACAAUGAUCAUCUAGUUUCAACCCUGCUGCUAUGUGCAUAUAUAUCAUCCAAUGAUGAUGUGUGAUAUAUAUCAUAAAAUAUGCCUGGUUUUUUGUCUCAAAAAAAAAGAAAAAACAAAAAG